rnacentral:sRNA from 1 species
UUUGACAGAUUAUUUGCCUGAUAUCAGGCAAAGGCUGGUGAUCAUUUGAUCACCAGCCU